rnacentral:rRNA from 1 species
GUCGAGCGGUAGAGAGGUGCUUGCACCUCUUGAGAGCGGCGGACGGGUGAGUAAUGCCUAGGAAUCUGCCUGGUAGUGGGGGAUAACGCUCGGAAACGGACGCUAAUACCGCAUACGUCCUACGGGAGAAAGCAGGGGACCUUCGGGCCUUGCGCUAUCAGAUGAGCCUAGGUCGGAUUAGCUAGUUGGUGAGGUAAUGGCUCACCAAGGCGACGAUCCGUAACUGGUCUGAGAGGAUGAUCAGUCACACUGGAACUGAGACACGGUCCAGACUCCUACGGGAGGCAGCAGUGGGGAAUAUUGGACAAUGGGCGAAAGCCUGAUCCAGCCAUGCCGCGUGUGUGAAGAAGGUCUUCGGAUUGUAAAGCACUUUAAGUUGGGAGGAAGGGCAUUAACCUAAUACGUUAGUGUUUUGACGUUACCGACAGAAUAAGCACCGGCUAACUCUGUGCCAGCAGCCGCGGUAAUACAGAGGGUGCAAGCGUUAAUCGGAAUUACUGGGCGUAAAGCGCGCGUAGGUGGUUCGUUAAGUUGGAUGUGAAAUCCCCGGGCUCAACCUGGGAACUGCAUUCAAAACUGUCGAGCUA